rnacentral:lncRNA from 1 species
UACAGGACAUCCACACAAAGUUCUAGAUCUGAGCGAUCUCUCUGAGAGUGCUAGCUCACACAGAGACCCUUGUUAGCUGAUUUGAUUUAUGCUCCUUCUUCGGAGCACACGGAUAGCUCCGGAGUCGAAGAUGGAUCUAGAAGGAUGUGGGAUCAGUGGAAGAAUCUAAGGGAGAACUCCUUCUCUCUUGUUUUCCUCUCAUCCAAAAAUCCUAGAUCAAAUUUAGGUCACUCACCCAAGAGGAGAAGAUAUCCCUCUAAUCACUCACG